AGAGUUUGAUCCUGGCUCAGGAUGAACGCUAGCGACAGGCUUAACACAUGCAAGUCGAGGGGCAUCAUGAGGUAGCAAUACCUUGAUGGCGACCGGCGCACGGGUGAGUAACGCGUAUGCAACUUACCUAUCAGAGGGGGAUAGCCCGGCGAAAGUCGGAUUAAUACCCCAUGAAACAGGGGUCCCGCAUGGGAAUAUUUGUUAAAGAUUCAUCGCUGAUAGAUAGGCAUGCGUUCCAUUAGGCAGUUGGCGGGGUAACGGCCCACCAAACCGACGAUGGAUAGGGGUUCUGAGAGGAAGGUCCCCCACAUUGGUACUGAGACACGGACCAAACUCCUACGGGAGGCAGCAGUGAGGAAUAUUGGUCAAUGGCCGAGAGGCUGAACCAGCCAAGUCGCGUGAAGGAAGAAGGAUCUAUGGUUUGUAAACUUCUUUUAUAGGGGAAUAAAGUGGAGGACGUGUCCUUUUUUGUAUGUACCCUAUGAAUAAGCAUCGGCUAACUCCGUGCCAGCAGCCGCGGUAAUACGGAGGAUGCGAGCGUUAUCCGGAUUUAUUGGGUUUAAAGGGUGCGUAGGUGGUGAUUUAAGUCAGCGGUGAAAGUUUGUGGCUCAACCAUAAAAUUGCCGUUGAAACUGGGUUACUUGAGUGUGUUUGAGGUAGGCGGAAUGCGUGGUGUAGCGGUGAAAUGCAUAGAUAUCACGCAGAACUCCGAUUGCGAAGGCAGCUUACUAAACCAUAACUGACACUGAAGCACGAAAGCGUGGGGAUCAAACAGGAUUAGAUACCCUGGUAGUCCACGCAGUAAACGAUGAUUACUAGGAGUUUGCGAUACAAUGUAAGCUCUACAGCGAAAGCGUUAAGUAAUCCACCUGGGGAGUACGCCGGCAACGGUGAAACUCAAAGGAAUUGACGGGGGCCC
rnacentral:rRNA from 1 species